UACGUAGGGGGCUAGCGUUAUCCGGAAUUACUGGGCGUAAAGGGUGCGUAGGUGGUUUCUUAAGUCAGAGGUGAAAGGCUACGGCUCAACCCGUAGUAAGCCUUUGAAACUGGGAAACUUGAGUGCAGGAGAGGAGAGUGGAAUUCCUAGUGUAGCGGUGAAAUGCGUAGAUAUUAGGAGGAACACCAGUUGCGAAGGCGGCUCUCUGGACUGUAACUGACACUGAGGCACGAAAGCGUGGGGAGCAAACAGG
rnacentral:rRNA from 1 species